rnacentral:misc_RNA from 1 species
AUCAUUGCUGGUUCUGUGAUAUUGGGUAUAAUCAUGCCAUUGUUCUUUUACAUAUGGAGGAGAAAUCUUAGAAAACAUGGUAUGGCAAAUAGAAGUUUUGAAAGAAAUGACUACAUUACUGAAGGUCGGAAAGAAGACAUGGAGUUGCAAUUUUUUAACCUGAACACGAUAUCUGAAGCUACUAAUAGUUUUUCAAGCAGCA